rnacentral:rRNA from 1 species
UACGUAGGGUGCGAGCGUUGUCCGGAAUUAUUGGGCGUAAAGGGCUCGUAGGCGGUUUGUUGCGCCGGGAGUGAAAACACUGGGCUUAACCGAGUGCUUGCUUUCGAUACGGGCAGACUUGAGGCAUUGAGGGGAGAACGGAAUUCCUGGUGUAGCGGUGAAAUGCGCAGAUAUCAGGAGGAACACCGGUGGCGAAGGCGGUUCUCUGGCAAUGUUCUGACGCUGAGGAGCGAAAGUGUGGGGAGCGAACAGG